AUACGUAGGGUGCAAGCGUUAAUCGGAAUUACUGGGCGUAAAGCGUGCGCAGGCGGUUUCGCAAGUCAGAUGUGAAAUCCCCGGGCUCAACCUGGGAACUGCAUUUGAAACUACGAAGCUCGAGUGUGGCAGAGGGGGGUGGAAUUCCACGUGUAGCAGUGAAAUGCGUAGAGAUGUGGAGGAACACCGAUGGCGAAGGCAGCCCCCUGGGCUAACACUGACGCUCAUGCACGAAAGCGUGGGGAGC
rnacentral:rRNA from 1 species